AUACGUAGGGAGCGAGCGUUGUCCGGAAUUACUGGGUGUAAAGGGAGCGUAGGCGGGAUCGCAAGUCAGAUGUGAAAUACAUGGGCUUAACCCAUGGGCUGCAUUUGAAACUGUGGUUCUUGAGUGAAGUAGAGGUAAGCGGAAUUCCUGGUGUAGCAGUGAAAUGCGUAGAUAUCAGGAGGAACACCGGUGGCGAAGGCGGCUUACUGGGCUUUUACUGACGCUGAGGCUCGAAAGCGUGGGGAGCAAACAGGAUUAGAUACCCUGGUAGUCCACGCUGUAAACGAUGAUUACUAGGUGUGGGGGGACUGACCCCUUCCGUGCCGCAGUUAACACAAUAAGUAAUCCACCUGUGGAGUACGGCCGCAAGGUUGAAACUCAAAUGAAUUGACGGGG
rnacentral:rRNA from 1 species